CAGGGACGAGGCGCCGGCUAUGGCGGCCGAACGGGCGGUGGGGGAGCGGCGGCCGCCAUUUUGUGUGUGUGGAGGCCGGCUCCGGGCGUCGCUGCUCCGCCGCGGAGGCGGGGGUGCGCGGCGAGGCGAGGCCGAUGGACGCAGAGCUGUCAGCUUUUCGGCGAUGACCUUUUUUUUUUUUUUUAACCAAAUGCCGCUUACCUCACGACACGAGAAUCACCAGGAUAUCCCCAACAGCCGCAUUAAGUGUAUCCUCAAAACGUACAGCUAAUGAAAUGAAACGUAAUUAGUGCAAGUUAACGCUGUUGUCCUGCCUGUGACUUACUGUCAGCGAUGUGUCCUGGCUUUAUAAAACCUGGAACAUCAUCAGCCGGGUUUAACGAACUUCAGGACUUAAUUGCCAUGCCGCCAGCAGCGUUCUGAGGGAAAUGGUCUGGCCUUCCACCGCUUCGCCCCUGCUUUGGAGAAGACCGGCCGUAACUCCAGUUGAGCUGCAGUCGAGCUCAUUUCUUCUGGGCCGGCUCCCAGCCCGGCUCCCGAGCUCUCCCUGAGCCCGGCAGAUGAGCUCCCUGUCCGUUACUGAUCCACUCGGAGGUUUCAAAGGUCCCCGAACGCCGUUGGUCCGUGUCUGCCAGGAGUUUCGGGAGCUGGAAGGAGCCUUCCCAAAGUGAUGUGCUGUUCUCAACCGCCCCCUGAAGCAGGGCCGGGGGUAACCUAGUUCGUAAGAAGACUCGUCUUCAUUAAAACAGAGAAUGGAAUAAAUAGGAGGAGUUGGCGGAGUCAAAGCA